CCUACGGGUGGCAGCAGUGAGGAAUAUUGGUCAAUGGACGAGAGUCUGAACCAGCCAAGUAGCGUGAAGGAUGACUGCCCUAUGGGUUGUAAACUUCUUUUAUAUGGGAAUAAAAUGUUCCACGUGUGGGAUUUUGUAUGUACCAUAUGAAUAAGGAUCGGCUAACUCCUUGCCAGCAGCCGCGGUAAUACGGAGGAUCCGAGCGUUAUCCGGCUUUAUUGGGUUUAAAGGGCGCGUAGGUGGAUUGUUAAGUCAGUUGUGAAAGUUUGCGGCUCAACCGUAAAAUUGCAGUUGAAACUGGCAGUCUUGAGUACAGUAGAGGUGGGCGGAAUUCGUGGUGUAGCGGUGAAAUGCUUAGAUAUCACGAAGAACUCCGAUUGCGAAGGCAGUUCACUGGACUGCAACUGACACUGAGGCUCGAAAGUGUGGGUAUCAAACAGGAUUAGAUACCCGUGUAGUC
rnacentral:rRNA from 1 species